rnacentral:lncRNA from 1 species
GGGUGAUCUGAUGCACACCUUUCAAAUUCAAGGUUCUGAACACUAGGAUUAAACUUUUUUUUUUUUUUUUUUUUGCAAGCACAGUGUAUUUCUUUUCUUUCUUUUUUUUUUCUCUUUUUCAGACAGGGUCUCGCUCUGUCACCCAGACUAGAGUGCAGUGGUGCAGAUCUUGGCUCACUACAGCCUUGACCUUCUGGGCUCAAAAGAUCCUACCAUCUCAGCCUCCUGAGUAGCUGCGACUACAGGCAUGUGCCACCACGCCCGGCUAUGGAUUUGUGGGGAGAUGUGCUGUGUGGAGUCCUGGAGUUUCAGCGAGAGGGCUCCGUGUGUGGAAGGUGCAGGACACCCCCAAGAAAUUCAGUGAAGCCCCACUCUGCGGUGACUGGCUAGACGUCCUGCUGCAAGCCCAGUACGUGAGAGACUGCUGGAGGCGGGCGGAGGAAGGGCUGCUGGACUCACACAGGGCCAUCUCACCCGGCCAGAAGAGGCAGUCUCCAGGCCUUGGUGAACAGACAGCAGAAGAAAUGAGGUCUCGCUAUGCUGCCCAGGCUGGUCUCCAACUGCUGGCCUCAAGCGAUUCUCCUACCUUGGCCUCCCAAAGUGCUGAGAUUACAGGUAUGAG